CCUGCCCAUAGAGGUGUUUGAGGUAUGGUUGCAUCAGUAGGUGGCAGAGAGAAGAAAGACGAUGUCUAAACUGAGAGUGUUCUGACCUAUGAACAUCUGAAUCAUUAGUAGCCUAACAUU
rnacentral:snoRNA from 1 species